ACGGGAGGCAGCAGUCGGGAAUAUUGCGCAAUGGAGGAAACUCUGACGCAGUGACGCCGCGUAUAGGAAGAAGGUUUUCGGAUUGUAAACUAUUUUAGACAGGGAAGAAAUUGACAGUACCUGUAGAAUAAGCUCCGGCUAACUACGUGCCAGCAGCCGCGGUAAUACGUAGGGAGCAAGCGUUAUCCGGAUUUAUUGGGUGUAAAGGGUGCGUAGACGGGAAAGCAAGUUAGUUGUGAAAGCCCUCGGCUUAACUGAGGAACUGCAACUAAAACUACUAUUCUUGAGUGCGGGAGAGGAAAGCGGAAUUCCUAGUGUAGCGGUGAAAUGCGUAGAUAUUAGGAGGAACACCAGUGGCGAAGGCGGCUUUCUGGACCGUAACUGACGUUGAGGCACGAAAGUGUGGGGAGCAAACAGGAUUAGAUACCCUGGUA
rnacentral:rRNA from 2 species